rnacentral:rRNA from 1 species
AAGGUAAUUUCUGCCCAAUGAUUAUUUUAAUUUAAUGGCUGCAGUAUAUUAACUGUACAAAGGUAGCAUAAUAAUUAGUUUUUUAAUUGAGGACUGGAAUGAAUGGGAAAGUGAGAGGUUUUCUUUAUUAAUUUUAUUUCAAUAAUUUUAUUUAUUGGUUAAAAAGCUAAGUUUUUCUUUAGGGACGAUAAGACCCUAUAGAACUUUAAAAUAAAACUUGUAAUUUGUUUUUUAUUUAUAUAUUUAUUUACAUUUAAUUAUUUUUUUGUUGGGGUGAUGAGUAAAUUUAUUUAACUUUAUUUUUUAAUUCAUAAAUAUAUGUAUGAUUUGAUCCUCUUAAGAGAUUUUUAGAUAAGUUACCUUAGGGAUAACAGCGUAAUUUCAAUGGAAAGUUCUUAUUAAAAUUGUAGUUUGCGACCUCGAUGUUGAAUUAAGGUAUAAUUUUGGGGUAUGUGUUAAAAAUUUUAGUCUGUUCGACUAUUAAAAUCUUACA